rnacentral:rRNA from 1 species
GACGAACGCUGGCGGCGUGCUUAACACAUGCAAGUCGAACGGAAAGGCCCUGCUUUUGUGGGGUGCUCGAGUGGCGAACGGGUGAGUAACACGUGAGUAACCUGCCCUUGACUUUGGGAUAACUUCAGGAAACUGGGGCUAAUACCGGAUAGGAGCUCCUGCUGCAUGGUGGGGGUUGGAAAGUUUCGGCGGUUGGGGAUGGACUCGCGGCUUAUCAGCUUGUUGGUGGGGUAGUGGCUUACCAAGGCUUUGACGGGUAGCCGGCCUGAGAGGGUGACCGGCCACAUUGGGACUGAGAUACGGCCCAGACUCCUACGGGAGGCAGCGGUGGGGAAUAUUGCACAAGGGGCGGAAGCCUGAUGCAGCAACGCCGCGUGCGGGAUGACGGCCUUCGGGUUGUAAACCGCUUUCGCCUGUGACGAAGCGUGGGUGACGGUAAUGGGUAAAGAAGCACCGGCUAACUACGU